UACAGAGGUCUCAAGCGUUGUUCGGAUUCAUUGGGCGUAAAGGGUGCGUAGGUGGCGUGGUAAGUCGGGUGUGAAAUUUCGGAGCUUAACUCCGAAACUGCAUUCGAUACUGCCGUGCUUGAGGACUGGAGAGGAGACUGGAAUUUACGGUGUAGCAGUGAAAUGCGUAGAUAUCGUAAGGAAGACCAGUGGCGAAGGCGGGUCUCUGGACAGUUCCUGACGCUGAGGCACGAAGGCCAGGGGAGCAAACGGG
rnacentral:rRNA from 1 species